rnacentral:rRNA from 1 species
AUGGGGUUCGCCGACCAAGCGAGGGCGUGGAUCCCCCUUCUCAUGCUCUCAAUCGUCGGCACGACCACCAUCAACCAGAUCUUCACUACCUCAGGUACCAAAGGAUCAACCCGGAAUCUGUCCGAGUCCCCAAUGGAGGCGGCAGCGGCAUCUUCGCCCACCAGGAAGCCAGCAGAACCAGCACCGUCAUCCACACCAAGCAUGGACGAGCGCGACGGCGCCCCAGCUGCGGAUGCCGACAGGUCGAGCCUCACGCCCUACCUCGCCCAUGCCUCGCUCAAGCAGCGGGAGCCACGAGGGCGUCUGUCAUCCUCAUCCGCUGCCAUCAUGAGGGACAACCAGCUGUACAAUGCCGCCGCGCACUCCUCCCAGGGAAUCAACCUCGACGGCGAGCUCUACAACUUGGCCACCCAAGCCUCCGGGCCAUCCAACAGCCUCGGCGAUGCGGCCACCCAGGGAGGCGACCUCGGCGGCAAUAUCUUUGUCGUCACCGCAGCUGCCGCCGUUGAGGUCGCCUCCCUGGGCGGCAAGGUUGUAGAGCCCACUGCCGAGGUCGGUCCCCUAGGUGGCCUGGGCGGCGAGGUUGUAGAGCUCACCAUCGAGGUCGCCUCCCUGGGUGGCCUGGGCGGCGAGGUUGUAGAGCCAACUGCCGAGGCUGUUGUAUGCCUGGGAGGCUUGCGCGGUGAAGGUGUCGACCGCGCCACCAAGAUCAUCCGCGGAGGACCCUCAUGCCGCUGCAGGUACCAGAGGAUCAACCCGGAAUCCGUUCCAGUCCCUAAUGGCAGCGGCGGUGGCAAUGGCAGCACCGCCACCAGAAAGCUAGCAGAACCCGUGCCGUCACCCACACCAAGCAUGGACAAGCGCGACGGCGCCCCGGCUGUCGACGCUAACAGCUCGAGCCUCGCAUCCUACCUCGCCCGCGCCUCGCUCGAGCAGCGCCGGCCAGGAGGGCGUCCGGCGUCCUCAUCCGCUGCCAUCGUGAGCGACCACCAACUGUACAACGCCACCGCAUACUCAUCCCAUGGAGUCAACAUCGGCGGCAGCCUCUACAACUUGGCCGCCCAAGCCUCCCAAGGAUCCAACCUCGACGGCGGGCUCUACAACUUGGCCGCCCAAGCCUCCGAGGCAGCCAACAGCCUCGGCGGCGGGCUCUACAACUUCGCCGCCAAGGCCACCCAGGGAGCCGACCUUUGUGGCGAGCUCUACAACCUUACCGCCCAGUCUACCCAGGCAUCCAACAGGCUCGGCAGUGGGCUCAACAACCUCGCCGCCCAUGCCACCCAAGCAUCCAACAGCCUCGGCGGUGGGCUCUACAACCUCGCCGCCCAGGCCAUUGAGGGAACCGACCUCGGCGGCGGCAGCAGCAGCAGUGACAUCGCCAUUGCCGCGCUGGAAGACCCUGCGCCGCUCAAGUGGGGCUGCAAGAAGCGCUCGCGCGCCUACCGCGAGGUGCCCGCGCCGGCGCCCGCUGUCACUCCUGCACCCGCAUCGGUGCCUGCUCCCGCGCCAGCAACGGUGCCCACUCCAGCGCCUGAGCCAGAGCUGACCCCCGCUCAGGCGCAUCGCCGGGGAAUCUUAAGGAUCAAAAACCGUCCGACGGCGCAAGACCAGGCCCAGCCACGAGCGGAAGCGGAGAAGUUGAUGCCACCACCGAGCGCCCGCGGCCCCGCCAUCCUUGACACCUCGCCUCAGAGUCCUCGCACCACCACCCUCUCGCCGCUACCACCUCGCGCCGCCACCCUCUCGCCACUACCACCUCGCGCCGCCACCCUCUCGCAGCACAGAUCAUCCGCGGAGGACCCUCAUGCCGCUGACGGCAAGCAGCAGCAAGCGGCGGACAAGGCGCCUGGCACCACCGAGGAGGAGCCGGCGCCCAAAGUGCAUGAGCCUAAGCCGCCGCUGCCGCAGCCGUACCGUCAGGCGGCGGACAAGGCGGCUCACGCCAGCAACGGCGAGCAGGAGCCGGCGCCCAAGGCGGAGCCUAGGACGCCGCAGCCGCAGAGGCAGAGGCAGCAGCCGCCGCGCCAGGCGUCGAUAAAGGAGAAAGGCAAGGCGCCGAUGGUGCAGGAGCCUCCCGCGGUGGCGCCGCACGUCGCGCAGAGGCGGCGGCCGCCGCGGGGGAGGCCAAGGCUGCCCUACCGCCCCCUGCAGCGCCACCCCAAGGCCGUCGAGGACAAGCUCCAGAAACUGUUCCCGGGCCAGACGCUGCCUGAGGUGACCAGGGCCAGGUACAUGGUGCGCGAGAAGAAGCAAAAGAAGCGCCCCGGCCUGCAAGCAAUGGCGGAGGAGGACGCCCUGAGGUCCGAGAGGCGCGACUCCGACAAUAAUGCGGCGGGAGAAAAAAAACCAUUUUGGCGUCUCCGAUGCGGAGGAGCGUGGUAG